UCUCCAGACUCCUACGGGAGGCAGCAGUGAGGAAUAUUGGUCAAUGGGCGCGAGCCUGAACCAGCCAAGUAGCGUGAAGGAUGACUGCCCUACGGGUUGUAAACUUCUUUUAUAAAGGAAUAAAGUGAGGCACGUGUGCCUUUUUGUAUGUACUUUAUGAAUAAGGAUCGGCUAACUCCGUGCCAGCAGCCGCGGUAAUACGGAGGAUCCGAGCGUUAUCCGGAUUUAUUGGGUUUAAAGGGUGCGCAGGCGGGAGAUCAAGUCAGCGGUAAAAUGUCGGGGCUCAACCCCGGCCGGCCGUUGAAACUGGUUUUCUAGAGUUGGAGAGAAGUAUGCGGAAUUCGUGGUGUAGCGGUGAAAUGCAUAGAUAUCACGAAGAACUCCGAUUGCGAAGGCAGCAUACCGGCUCCAUACUGACGCUGAGGCACGAAAGCGUGGGGAUCGAACAGGAUUAGAUACCCGUGUAU
rnacentral:rRNA from 1 species